rnacentral:other from 1 species
CCAAUAAUCCCUCAUCUAAAAAUUUAACUAAUGAAAU